GAAAAAUAUAUCGAAAGAACGUCGGUGAUUUUACGCGCUCGCUAGUUUCGACGGAAGUACGGCCGUUCGAUCGUAGCCUGCUCGCAGGCUUCGGUUAGUAAAUCUGGUCGUAUCCGAAGUCGACGGUGACGUUUUCGGCGUUCUGGAGUCGGCGGUGUCCGAGUCGGUCGCCCGUCCGACCCGUCUUGAAACACGGACCAAGGAGUCUAACGUAAGCGCGAGCUAAUGGGCGGAAAACCCAUAAGCGAAAUAAAAGUAAAAGCCGUUUCGGACGGCCGAGGUACGAUCCCGAAGAUUUCUAUCUUAGGGCGCAGUACCGUCCCGUCCCGACCGCUUGUCGGUAGGGCGGAGAUAGAGUGCAUACGUUGGGACCCGAAAGAUGGUGAACUAUGCCUGAGCAGAGCGAAGCCAGAGGAAACUCUGGUGGAGGUUCGUAGCGGUUCUGACGUGCAAAUCGAUCGUCAGACUUNGUAUA
rnacentral:rRNA from 1 species